UCACGACAGCGGUCUUGAUUGUCCAAUCGGUAUUGAGGCCAGAUCUGUAUACGGAGCUGUUCUAAGCGGUUAGCUUUGAGUUCAGUGAGUAAGAGCAGUUUGAGAUUUUUAAGAACACAGGACAGGGGGGAAUCUUUGGGGACGGACUGGCCAGAUCCAUAAUUGAAAGGCAAGCAGAGGCUCCUGUUGGGAGUUCGAGUCGUCACCUGUAGUCACAAUAGGAGUUAUGAGAAGAGAGCUCUGUGUCGAGGUGGAACGUCCCCCACCGUCGCUUACAGAGAGACCUUAGGCCGGGGUCCCUGGGACCCGGAGAUGAUUUGGUUCUAAGGCGCCUCUACAACACCGUCCGGAUCUUACCUUAAUCUAGAGGCCGGCUUGAGUGGAGUGUUGCAUGUAGAGCGGUCGAAUGGCAAGUUCCCUGUACCAGAGGUCAUCAGAGAGAGAGAGGGGGUAGAGCCGAGGCCUGGGGGUACAGAAAGCACCAAUGAAAGCCUUAGGACAAGGCUUGCACCGCUCACAAAGGCACUCGGCGUCCCCAAGGGGAACUUAUGAGCCCUGGCAGAAAGGGAACUCGGCAGGUGUCCACGCUCCCAGAUUCAGGGAGAAGGGAAAACAGUGAGAGGGAGAGGGAGACAAGUGCCUCGCCCUCUCCCGGUUUCUGCACCAAGAAUGUACGGUAUAGUUCCGGCCGAGGCAGAAAAGGAGAGACAACCUCAACGGAGGCAGGUUACCUUUAUUCAGUUAUCCUCAUUUGAUGGUUAUCCUCAUUCGACCUGUUCACAGCCAGGACACUGAGAGCUGAAAGAAGCAGGGGAAUUCUGACCUCCUGGUCUCACACCACAAUAAGGGAACAUCUUAUAAAUAAGAUCAACGUGGAUACCCAGGCUUCCAAACACUUAGGAAUUCUGUAUGACUUUAGCUGUUGUCUCUCCAGCUCUCAUCUCAUUUUGUAACCCUCCCCUUGACGUGUCUGGACUUCUUGAGGAAAGUCAUAUCAAGAUAACAGUGGUUAAUUACUAUUUGUAUCACAAGCUUUAUGCAUUCCCUGAAAUCCAAAAGAAAAGGAAUUGUAAUAAUUGACCUGAGAAUUAUAGCAUAAGGGGAAAAAUGGCAUAAAGUCACAGAAUCAAGAAGGUUUUGCUCUGAGAGCAAAAUGUUUUAUAGGGCAACAAUGCUGGGCUAAGUGUCGAAGUAUAUUACUCAUAGUGCAGAAGAAAUGUUUGAAAUAAGACAGGAUAAGACUUUAAGAUAAACUAUUUUGGAAUUGUGUUUACAGAAAUG
ensembl:lncRNA